UACGUAGGGGGCAAGCGUUGUCCGGAAUCAUUGGGCGUAAAGAGCGCGUAGGCGGCCCUGUAAGUCCGCUGUGAAAGUCAAGGGCUCAACCCUUGGAUGCCGGUGGAUACUGCAGGGCUAGAGUCCGGAAGAGGCGAGUGGAAUUCCUGGUGUAGCGGUGAAAUGCGUAGAUAUCUGGAGGAACACCGGUGGCGAAGGCGGCAUCCUGGACCAAUAUUGACGCUGAGGAGCGAAAGUGUGGGGAGCGAACAGG
rnacentral:rRNA from 1 species